UCGCUCUCCGCGGGGGGAGGCGAACACCAUCUCUAUGGGAAAUAAUCUCGAUUAUAAACAAGGGGGACCCAGCCGCGAAAAGAUGAAUGGAUGGGGCCAGCGCGACGUCACAGCGAGCUGCAGCCAUGAAGCUCAAGACCAGGCGCGAGCCAACCUACAAGCACUCAGUUGUUCUACAUCUCUGGACUCGCUUGGUUGAUUGUUGUGGAGAGCGUUUGUAACCGUGGCUGGCUGACACCGGGGUUUCAAUGGAGAGACAUAUAGGCGCAACAGAGCAGGUGGCAUAGGUCAGAAUCUGGCCCAUGCAUAUCACCUGUGGCACAAGAGGAUGGGCAGCCUUAGGGGUUGGUUGUUAUCUUUGGUUAUCUAGCUGUAUGAGUGAUGUACAUUCUUCAUAAAGCUAGAUAACCGAAAGUAACAAGAAUCCCAUUACGCUCCUGAAAGGCAUCAAGAUCCCCAACACAUAUCCCCCAUGCUGCACCACCCCAUUCUACCAUUCACAGCAAAACAAGCAACGAAAAUGGCCGACAUCAUAGGACUUGGGAGCAGAAGAAAAAGUCAAACUACCAACACCACCAUGACAGAAUGCUGGCAAAAUGAGGCUGAAAAACAGGGAGAGGAGGAGAGGUUGCUGUUGACUUUGACUCCCUCUUCUCACCCUCCUCCGUAUCGCCUCUCCCCUUCUCCCCUCCCUCGCUUCAUCCUCAGCUGCCUUCCCCAUUCUCCUGUACUGCGAGACGCAGCUCACGCCACCAUCUUAGGACGACGCACGUUGGCAUGAAAUGGAAGUGAGGACCAGAGAGAGCAGGCAAAUAAUGGUCCAGAACACUGAAAGAGGGCAGAAAUGACAUCGAGCAGUAAUCCAUUGGGAGAAGAGAAGUUACCCACAAACUACCAACCCAUCCCUAGUAUUUGUAAUGGAACAGGCCCAUUACAACAAUGUUCAUCCACUACACUCCGACUUGUGCCCCAACAUUUGAGCGUCAGAGCACUUUAGCUGCCUCUGACGUGUGGUUGGACCUCUGGCGUGGGUUUUGUUAUCCAACAAGGGCCAAUCAGGAUUGGUUUUCUUUCCUUUCAUUAAGCCAAUAAGAAAGUGGGGUGGUGGCGUGGAAAACAAGAGCAAAUAUCUCAGGAUCCAAGAUGAACAGAGAAGCACUGAUUCUUGAUACACUGUGCUGUGAAUGAGAGACAUGACAUGUGCUGUGGACCUACAGUAUUUGCUUGCAGACUCAAUAACAUCUACACUGAGUGUCCAAAACAUUAAGAACACCUGCUCAUUUCAUGACACAGACUGACCAGGUGAAUCCAGGUGAAAGCUAUGAUCCCUUAAUGAUGUCACUUGUUAAAUCCACUUUAAUCAGUGUAGAUGAAGGGAAGGAGACAGGUUAAAGAAUGAAUUUUAAGUCUUGAGACAAUUGAGACAUGGAUUGUGUGUGUGCCAUUCAGAGGGUGAAUGGGCAAGACACACAAAUGUAAGUGCCUUUGAAUGGGGUAUGGUAGUAGGUGCCAGGCACACCGGUUUGUGUCAAGAACUGCAACACUGCUGGGUUUUUCACACUCAACAGUUCCCCGUGUGUAUCAAGAAUGGUCCACCAGCCAAAGGACAUCCAGCCAACUUGACACAACGGUGGGAAGUAUUGGAGUCAACAUAGGCCAGCAUCCCUGUUGAACACUUUUCAACACCUUGUAGAGUCCAUGCCCCGACGAAUUGAGGCUGCAACUCAAUAGUAGGAAGGUGUCCUUAAAUGUUUUGUACACUCAGUGUGUGUUACAUGUGAGGAAAUGUUCCUUGCAAUACAGAUUCUUAGGUGCAAACAUUUAUAUAAUAGCAUAGAGCACUUUACUACUACUACUACUACUAGUACUACUAUUUUAAUUAAAAGUAAAUAACAAUAUAUGAAUAGAGUCCAUGGUGUUUCAUGGGAAUGUUGUAUAACAAGCUGUAUAAAUAACAUAGACCUACCUAGAUUAUAUGGGUUAGAAUUUUUGCCAAUUUUUGUGUUUAUAUAUUAUUGUUUACUAGUUGCUAUGACUGACAGACACAUGAAUGUGAGACCCACGGCAGCAGUGAAGAAUACUGCACUGCGAUUGGACGGCUCCGUGUGUCAUAUGACACACAGGCGAAUGGGAGAGCUGUUGUCUUUAUACCCUAUGCAACUGUUUUUGGCCUGCUACCAAAUAUAUUGGGCAAGCCUUCAACUGAAUUAUUUUUGGGCGAACAAUCUCAUGAAAUUAUUGUGUGUGUGUGUGAAAGAGAGAGAGAGAACGUUAGAGAGAAAGUUAGACAUUACAGAUGAACAUAACACAUUUGAUUUUUAAAACAAAUUGUGGAGAGACAUUUUAGUUCUAAUUUUUCAAUAACAGAGUUGAAUAUGCUGGCCCUAAGCCUCUGCCAACGCAAAUCAGUGUAGGAAUUACACAUCUAAUAUUCUUGAUGGCAGAGCUCUGUUUGAUCAGCAGUGCGGUUUAUAGGGAGUCAGCUAGGCUGCACGGGCAGAACAUUCUAAACCACUAAAGCUUUCCAAGUAGGCUUUUAAUGCAGUAGCCUGGCUUUCCCUAGCUAACCACGUCAGCGUAAUACAAGGUACUUUAGAGUAAGACAUGAUAAAUACAGAGAAUUCAAAGGCUUCCUUCAUAUCCUGUCCUUGACAUUAUCGCACACACACACACACACACACACACACACACACACACACACACACACACACACACACACACACACACACACACACAAUACACAUGCAAGCAAAUGCAAGCAAAUGCAAUAAUGCAAGCACUAUCAUAGACUAGUUUGUUUUAUAUACAUUUUCAGGAAGUGGCACAUUUUUAUUCCAAUUGAUAAUGUAUGCAAAUCUUUUAAAUAUUAAUUUGAACAAUCUAUUCAGCGCUUGUGCAAUUGAGUUGAAGGAGACUAUCUUGGUCUGAUCUUGUAAAUGUAUUAUUUUGAUAAUCACAAUGCUAUAUUAUCACAUCUGCCUGGAUAAGCUUGAAAUUAUCUGGAUAAACUGGAAAACAUUUUUAAUCCGUAACUAAAAGUCACUUCAGGGAUGGCUAAAACCAGUCUAUUCGCAUACAACAAAUUGUGGUCGCUGAAGUUAUUCAAUAAUUAUAUGUUUCUUGUUUUGUUUUGCACCAAGAUGAAAUGUCUAUUCAGAUAUUUUUAAGCAACCGAUGUUGUUUGUGUUAUGCAAUCUAGUGUGUAUUAUGUAAUGCUAGAUUGCACUGAAUGAACCACGUGCCUUUGUAUGAAAAACAAACUGUGUCCUGUCAUGGAUUAGUAAUAAACGUUUACAUUGAAAACAAACAGAAAAUAA